AGAGUUUGAUCAUGGCUCAGGACAAACGCUGGCGGCGUGCCUAACACAUGCAAGUCGAGCGUGAAAGGACUUCGGUCUGAGUAAAGCGGCGAACGGGUGAGUAACACGUGGGCAACCUGCCUCAAGGACUGGGAUAACUCCGGGAAACCGGGGCUAAUACCGGGCGAUGUCGUCUCGCGCAAGCGGGCCGACCAAAUGGUAGCUUCGGCCUCCGCCUUGAGAUGGGCCCGCGUCCUAUCAGCUUGUUGGUGAGGUAACGGCUCACCAAGGCUACGACGGGUAGCUGGUCUGAGAGGAUGAUCAGCCACACUGGGACUGAGAUACGGCCCAGACUCCUACGGGAGGCAGCAGUGGGGAAUCUUGCGCAAUGGGCGAAAGCCUGACGCAGCAACGCCGCGUGAGCGAAGAAGGCCUUCGGGUUGUAAAGCUCUGUCAGGGGGAAAGAAGGCACCUGGGUUAAUAGCCCAAGGGCUGACGGUACCCCCAAAGGAAGCCACGGCUAACUACGUGCCAGCAGCCGCGGUAAUACGUAGGUGGCGAGCGUUGUCCGGAAUCAUUGGGCGUAAAGAGCGCGUAGGUGGCUUGUCAGGUCUGAUGUGAAAUCCUGGGGCUCAACCCCAGGCCUGCGUCGGAAACCGGCUUGCUCGAGUCUGGGAGAGGAGAGUGGAAUUCCUGGUGUAGCGGUGAAAUGCGUAGAUAUCAGGAGGAACACCGGUAGCGAAGGCGGCUCUCUGGAACAGUACUGACACUGAGGCGCGAAAGCUAGGGGAGCAAACAGGAUUAGAUACCCUGGUAGUCCUAGCCGUAAACGAUGGACACUAGGUGUCGGGGGUGUCGACUCCCCCGGGUGCCGAAGCUAACGCAUUAAGUGUCCCGCCUGGGGAGUACGGCCGCAAGGCUAAAACUCAAAGGAAUUG
rnacentral:rRNA from 1 species